rnacentral:rRNA from 1 species
GAUGAACGCUAGCGGGAGGCCUAACACAUGCAAGCCGAGCGGUAUUUGUCUUUCGGGACAGAGAGAGCGGCGUACGGGUGCGGAACACGUGUGCAACCUGCCCUUAUCUGGGGGAUAGCCUUUCGAAAGGAAGAUUAAUACCCCAUAAUAUAUUGAUUCGCAUGGAUUGAUAUUGAAAACUCCGGUGGAUAGAGAUGGGCACGCGCAAGAUUAGAUAGUUGGUGAGGUAACGGCUCACCAAGUCAGUGAUCUUUAGGGGGCCUGAGAGGGUGAUCCCCCACACUGGUACUGAGACACGGACCAGACUCCUACGGGAGGCAGCAGUGAGGAAUAUUGGACAAUGGGUGAAAGCCUGAUCCAGCCAUCCCGCGUGAAGGACGACGGUUCUAUGGAUUGUAAACUUCUUUUAUAUAGGGAUAAACCUACUUACGUGUAAGUAGCUGAAGGUACUAUACGAAUAAGCACCGGCUAACUCCGUGCCAGCCGCCGCAGUAA